UUAAGGGUGCAGGGCGGAUGCCUUGGCACUAGGAGCCGAUGAAGGACGUGAUAAGCUGCGAUAAGCUUCGGGGAGUUGCACGUAAACUUUGAUCCGAAGAUUUCCGAAUGAGGAAACUCACUUAGAGUAAUGUCUAAGUAUCAUUAAGUGAAUACAUAGCUUAAUGAGGGGAACUCAGGGAACUGAAACAUCUAAGUACCUGAAGGAAGAGAAAGAAAUUCGAUUCCGUAAGUAGCGGCGAGCGAACGCGGAUUAGCCCAAACCAAUAAAGUUUUCUUUAUUGGGGUUGCGGACAUAUCAUAACGAAGAGGUAUCGUAAUUGAAGAGGUUUGGAAAGACCCACCACAGAAGGUAAUAGUCCUGUAUGUUAAACGAGAAGACUUCAGAUAUGAUCCAGAGUACCACGGGACACGUGAAACCCUGUGGGAAGCAGGAGGGACCACCCUCCAAGGCUAAAUACUACCUAGUGACCGAUAGCGUAUAGUACCGUGAGGGAAAGGUGAAAAGAACCCCGGGAGGGGAGUGAAAUAGAACCUGAAACCCUGCACUUACAAGCUGUGGAAGCACAUUUCUUGUGUGACCGCGUACUUUUUGUAGAACGGGCCAACGAGUUACGUUAAGUAGCAAGGUUAAGCACUUAAGGUGCGGAGCCGUAGCGAAAGCGAGUUUUAACUGAGCGUUCAGUUACUUGACGUAGACCCGAAACCGGGCGACCUACCCAUGAGCAGGAUGAAGCGAAAGUAAAAUUUCGUGGAGGUCCGAACCCACGAGCGUUGAAAAGCUCGGGGAUGACUUGUGGGUAGCGGUGAAAUUCCAAUCGAGCCCGGAGAUAGCUGGUUCUCCCCGAAAUAGCUUUAGGGCUAGCCUCAAGGUGAGAGAUACGGAGGUAGAGCACUGAAUGUCCUAGGGGGUAUUGCACCUACCGAAGACUAUCAAACUCCGAAUGCCGUCAUCUUAUACUUGGGAGUCAGACUGUGGGUGAUAAGAUUCAUAGUCGAAAGGGCAACAGCCCAGAUCGUCAGCUAAGGUCCCUAAAUGUAAGUUAAGUGGUAAAGGAUGUGGGAUUGCACAGACAACCAGGAUGUUGGCUUAGAAGCAGCCACUCAUUCAAAGAGUGCGUAAUAGCUCACUGGUCGAGUGAUCCUGCGCCGAAGAUUUCCGGGGCUAAAACUUACUACCGAAGCUACGGCAUCAGUAAUGAUGGGUAGGGGAGCUUCCCAUACGGGUUGAAGCAUGACCGUAAGGACAUGUGGACAGUAUGGGAGUGAGAAUGUUGGCAUGAGUAGCGAGAUGUGGGUGAGAAUCCCACAGGCCGUAAACCCAAGGUUUCCAGGGGAAGGUUCGUCCGCCCUGGGUUAGUCGGAACCUAAGCUGAGGCCGAAAGGCGUAGGUGAUGGACAACAGGUUGAUAUUCCUGUACUACCGAUAACCAUUUGAGAGAAGGGAUGACACAGUAGGAUAAGCUAAGCACACUGUUGGUUAUGUGUGCCCAAGCAUUGAGGCAGUCAAAGUAGGCAAAUCCGCUUUGAUAAUGCUGGGAUGUGAUGGGGAGCGAAAUUUAGUAGCGAAGUAGCUGAUUUCACACUGUCAAGAAAAGUCUCUAUCGAGGUUAAAGGUACCCGUACCGCAAACCGACACAGGUGGGUGAGGAGAGUAUCCUAAGGCCAGCGAGAGAACUGUUGUUAAGGAACUCGGCAAAAUGACCCCGUAACUUAGGGAUAAGGGGUGCCACCAUCAGGUGGCCGCAGAGAAUAGGCCCAAGCGACUGUUUACCAAAAACAUAGGUAUCUGCUAAGUCGCAAGACGAUGUAUAGGAGCUGACGCCUGCCCGGUGCUGGAAGGUUAAGGGGAUCUGUUAGAGCAAUCGAAGCAGUGAACUUAAGCCCCAGUAAACGGCGGCCGUAACUAUAACGGUCCUAAGGUAGCGAAAUUCCUUGUCGGGUAAGUUCCGACCCGCACGAAAGGCGUAACGAUUUGGGCACUGUCUCAACAACAGACUCGGUGAAAUUGUAAUUCCGGUGAAGAUGCCGGAUACCUGCGACAGGACGGAAAGACCCCAUGGAGCUUUACUGUAGCUUGACAUUGGGUCUUGGUACUACAUGUACAGGAUAGGUGGGAGGCUUCGAAACCAGGACGCCAGUUUUGGCGGAGCCAUCCUUGGGAUACCACCCUUGUAGUACUGGGACUCUAACCAUAGGCCAUGAAUCUGGUCUUGGGACACUGUCAGGUGGGCAGUUUGACUGGGGCGGUCGCCUCCCAAAAGGUAACGGAGGCGCUCAAAGGUUCUCUCAGUACGGUCGGAAAUCGUACGUAGAGUGUAAAGGCAAAAGAGAGCUUGAUUGCAAGACAUACAGGUCGAGCAAGGAUGAAAAUCGGACUUAGUGAUCCGGUGGUUCUGCGUGGAAGGGCCAUCGCUCAACGGAUAAAAGCUACCCUGGGGAUAACAGGCUUAUCUCCCCCAAGAGUCCACAUCGACGGGGAGGUUUGGCACCUCGAUGUCGGCUCAUCACAUCCUGGGGCUGUAGUAGGUCCCAAGGGUUGGGCUGUUCGCCCAUUAAAGUGGUACGCGAGCUGGGUUCAGAACGUCGUGAGACAGUUCGGUCCCUAUCCGUCGCAGGCGUAGGAAAUUUGAGAAGACCUGUCCUUAGUACGAGAGGACCGGGAUGGACGUACCUCUGGUGUACCAGUUGUUCUGCCAAGGGCAUGGCUGGGUAGCUAUGUACGGAAUGGAUAAGCGCUGAAAGCAUCUAAGCGCGAAGCCAACUUCAAGAUAAGAUUUCCCACCGCAAGGGUAAGACUCCAGAAAGACUAUCUGGUUGAUAGGUCGAAGGUGUAAGUGCAGCAAUGUAUUUAGCUUAUCGAUACUAAUAGGUCGAGGACUUGACC
rnacentral:rRNA from 1 species